rnacentral:rRNA from 1 species
AUUGAACGCUAGCUACAGGCUUAACACAUGCAAGUCGAGGGGAAACGAUAUUGGAAGCUUGCUUCCGAUAGGCGUCGACCGGCGCACGGGUGAGUAACGCGUAUCCAACCUGCCCAUCACUUGGGGAUAACCUUGCGAAAGUAAGACUAAUACCCAGUGAUAUUUAUAGAAGGCAUCCGAAAUGAAUUAAAGAUUUAUCGGUGAUGGAUGGGGAUGCGUCUGAUUAACUUGUUGGCGGGGUAACGGCCCACCAAGGCGACGAUCAGUAGGGGUUCUGAGAGGAAGGUCCCCCACAUUGGAACUGAGACACGGUCCAAACUCCUACGGGAGGCAGCAGUGAGGAAUAUUGGUCAAUGGGCGAGAGCCUGAACCAGCCAAGUAGCGUGCAGGAUGACGGCCCUAUGGGUUGUAAACUGCUUUUAUAGGGGAAUAAAGUGAGCCACGUGUGGUUUUUUGCAUGUACCCUAUGAAUAAGGACCGGCUAAUUCCGUGCCAGCAGCCGCAGUAAUAC